GAUGAAUGCUGGCGGCGUGCCUAAUACAUGCAAGUCGAGCGGUAACACUUCGGGUGACGAGCGGCGGACGGCAGAGUAACGCGUAGGAACGUACCCCAAACUGAGGGAUAACGCACCGAAAGGUGUGCUAAUACCGCAUGUGAUCUUCGGAUUAAAGCUUCGGCGGUUUGGGAACGGCCUGCGUAUGAUUAGCUUGUUGGUGAGGUAAUGGCUCACCAAGGCGACGAUCAUUAGCUGGUCUGAGAGGAUGAUCAGCCUGACUGGAACUGGGACACGGUCCAGACUCCUACGGGAGGCAGCAGUAGGGAAUUUUCCGCGAUGGGCGAAAGCCUGAUGGAGCAACGCCGCGUGCAGGAUGAAGGCCUUCGGGUUGUAAACUGCUUUUGUCUGUGAAGAUUAUGACGGUAGCAGACGAAUAAGGACCGGCUAACUACGUGCCAGCAGCCGCCGUAA
rnacentral:rRNA from 1 species